GUGAGCGAUUAUAGUAUGUAUACAUCAAUAGUUUAGCAAGAAAGCAUUCUAUAAAGUUCUAAGUUUUUUGUUCUUUUACAAAAUCCACAAUCAAGUCUGCCAUUAAAAGUUGCUUUUAAACAAGAAGUAAUUCUCUUCUCUUCUUUUUUUUGUUGCAGACUACCAAAAGUUGAAUAGACCAAACAGUAACCAGAUUAAGAUGCAGCUAGAUACUAUUACUCAACAUUCCAUUGGAAUUAGAAUGAAAUUUGAUAAAGGCGAAAACAUGAAACCAGCAAUUCGAUCGUUCGAUUAAGUUAGACACAAAAAAAUUGUUCCAGUCUCACAUCUCAACAGCAUGGUCAAUUUUAUAAUCUUGUCACGAAAGCAGUUAUUCAUAAGGUUCGUAAAUGAUCAAUGUUUUUGUCAGAAAUUCCAAUUCCAUGCAAAAGUAUUUCAAGUGUAGUUCGUGGAAAAUAAGAUAUAUGAUGCUUCUUUUACAGCAACAUAACAGAUUGGGCAUCCCCAGAGGUAUCUGUUUUCAAGUACAAAUAUUUCAUAUUCCUAACUAAUUCUGUGUGUAGUCUUAAGGACACAGGAUUUGAGACUAUUCACUUUUUUUGCGAUUUUGUAAAAAGGUAAUGCUAAACUGGUAAACUUUACUUUAUCUCAAUAAAGUGGAAUCCACCAAUAAUAAUAUAAACAUUUUCUCAUCAACCUUUCAAAUGACGUUCUUUAUUAGGCAAAGGAUAGUUCCUUAGUAUUUCUAACCAUUUGUACAUGGUUUUAAAGUUCCAUAUGAAAUGUACCCUAGAAAGUAAAUAGUUGGCAUGUUAUAUUCACACUCAUCACACCUUAAAGUUAGUUGGUAGUCUUUGAUAGCUUUGUUAAAUCUAUCUAAACUUUGCUUAUGUUCUUCCAUACUUGCUCCACGUACAACAGUUUCAGUAGUGUCAACAAGAGUUACAUUUAAAUGAUUAACAGUAAUUAUGCUAUCAACUACUCUUUGCAAAGCAGCUACGGCAUUCUACAUAUAUAGUUUUCCAUUACUUUCAAGCAUUGUAAAUAGAUGACCAUCAAAGUACAAUGGUACUUGGUAUUCUCCAAUGUUUUUUUUCAUCUUUUGGUCGAUACCUGUCCGAAUAAAUAACCUGAAUAUU